rnacentral:rRNA from 1 species
UGCAGUCGAACGAACUCGACCUUCGGGUCAAAUAGUGAGUGGCGAACGGGUGAGUAACACGUGAGAAACCUGCCCCGAAGACUGGAACAACCCGAGGAAACUCGGGCUAAUACCGGAUACCCCCCAUCGGAUCGCAUGAUCUGAUGAGGAAAUGCUCCGGCGCUUCGGGAGGGUCUCGCGGCCUAUCAGCUAGUUGGUGAGGUAACGGCUCACCAAGGCAACGACGGGUAGCUGGUCUGAGAGGACGAUCAGCCACACUGGGACUGAGACACGGCCCAGACUCCUACGGGAGGCAGCAGUGGGGAAUAUUGCGCAAUGGGCGAAAGCCUGACGCAGCCACGCCGCGUGCGGGAUGAAGGCUCUAGGGUUGUAAACCGCUUUAGGCAGGGAAGAAAAUGACGGUACCUGCAGAAUAAGGUCCGGCCAACUACGUGCCAGCAGCCGCGGUAACACGUAGGGACCGAGCGUUGUCCGGAUUUAUUGGGCGUAAAGAGCUCGUAGGCGGUUCGGUAAGUCGGAUGUGAAAGCCCCAGGCUCAACCUGGGAACUGCAUUCGAAACUGGUGGACUUGAGUAUGGGGGAGGGUGGUGGAAUUCCUGGUGUAGAGGUGAAAUUCGUUGAUAUCAGGAGGAA